AUCUUUUCACUAACUUCAUUUUGUAUACAUGUAUACAAGCUUAAUUGAUGAUAUAUGUUAUAGAACAAAACAAUAUAAUUUAAUAACAUAUAUGUUAGUGCUUUAAGUUAGAGAAGUGUUCAGAUCCAAACAUUGGCAGCUAGUUGCAAAAGUGUCUACGAUUUUUUAAUUAGUUGGGGAAAGCACCUGAUUUUAGAAGGACUUUCCUAAUGAAUAAAGACCAGACAUUUAAAUGCAGGUAUUUUGAACCUUUGAAAUAAACAAUAUUUGCAUAUAGCCAUUCUCAAACUUUAGUGUGUGUCAGCAUCAACUGGAGAGGUAAGAAAGCCAACAACGGCCCAGGUGCACUGAGGUCAACUAAGAAGAACUGAUCUAAACCAGUGACUUUUAACCCUAGCUUCAGAUUAAAAAUCACACUAGGAGCUUUAAAAAUUACCAAUACCAUCUGUGCAGCAAACCACCAUGCCACACGUUUACCUAUGUAACAAAUCUGCACAUCCUGCACAUGUAUCCCUGAACUUAACAUUAAAAUUGAAGAAAAAAAAUUGCCAAUACCUAGAUUGAACCCUCAGAUUCUUAUUUAAUUGAAAUGGCCUGAGCAUGGGAGAAUUUAUGAAUUCUCAUAAAUUCAGAAUCAAUAUAUAUAAUUUAGUUUGAUUUUAU
rnacentral:lncRNA from 1 species